GACGAACGCUGGCGGCGUGCUUAACACAUGCAAGUCGAACGCUGAAGCACCAGCUUGCUGGUGUGGAUGAGUGGCGAACGGGUGAGUAAUACGUGAGUAACCUGCCCUUGACUCUGGGAUAAGCCCGGGAAACUGGGUCUAAUACUGGAUGCUACAUGUCACCGCAUGGUGGUGUGUGGAAAGGGUUUACUGGUCUUGGAUGGGCUCACGGCCUAUCAGCUUGUUGGUGAGGUAAUGGCUCACCAAGGCGACGACGGGUAGCCGGCCUGAGAGGGUGACCGGCCACACUGGGACUGAGACACGGCCCAGACUCCUACGGGAGGCAGCAGUGGGGAAUAUUGCACAAUGGGCGAAGGCCUGAUGCAGCGACGCCGCGUGAGGGAUGACGGCCUUCGGGUUGUAAACCUCUUUCAGCAGGGAAGAAGCCACAAGUGACGGUACCUGCAGAAGAAGCGCCGGCUAACUACGUG
rnacentral:rRNA from 1 species